AAAUUUCCAUUGGAGUAACUAUAUAAUAGCAAGUUUAUUUACACACGCGUGCGCGCACAUUCGCACAAAGCCACGAUGACAAACUCUCGAAUCAUCAUCACAUGAAUAAACAUCAAAACAAAACAAACGUAGAUAUAAAGAGAAAGACUUUAAGUUUGGAGCGCAUUUCACUGCGUGCUCUGCUCGUGCGCCUGCGUGUAUGUGUGGCUAAAGCUUAUAUAAUGUUUGGCAAACAUUCAGAGUCGUCAAAGAAGUAACGUCACUGUUUUGCCAAGUCAUUCGAAAAAAGAAAAGCCGGAAAAGAGAAUCGACGGGAACCGAAACGCGAGUCCUCGAAAAGCUUUGAGAUAGAUGCGCACACAUACACACGGACGGAUAGUAUAACCUUACUCACAACUCACCGAGGGUAAGAACGACUGCUACCUCUCUGCAUCCCGCUAUGGUAUUCUUCCUAUUCUAAUUCUAUGUUAACUUUCAAAUACUGCACAAUUAACAAAAAAGUUUCAUGAGUGUAAAGAGGAGUUAUGUAAAGACCAGAUGAUAAGUUUGAAGUAAUUCAUAGUUUUUAAAUAAUUCACGACUCAAAUAAACCGACGUACCAUCACACUUGUAUAACUAAGAAAGAGAAAGAUUUGAUAAACGGAAAAAUCAUAACUGAAAAAGAAAUAGAAAUUCUUAAAAAGCACAUUUCAAAACAACUCAGCAAUCUGUUUAAGGCAGUAUGUAUCGAGUGCAUCGAUAAAGCUAAUCAAUUAUACAACAAAUAUACAUUUGGUGCCGUUUAAAAGUGCCUUGGUAAAAAAACAUGAAAUUGUCUAGUAAUAAUAAUAACUAUGGAAUAGGUUUCACUUCGUUUUAGUAUUUAUGUUGCACCUCUGAAUACUAUUUUCUUUUAAAAUUCUUUAUCUGCA